GGGGGGGAAAGUGGAGAAAUGUCACGUGACAACAAUGUGAUGCCGCGAGUUUGACAUCCCCUGAAGUAGAG